GUAUUUAAGCCAUUGGAAAAUAACAAUGUAUUGCCAAUUCGUAAUCAGUAGGUCCGGGGUUCAAAUCCCUGUUGCGGCACCA
rnacentral:tRNA from 1 species